rnacentral:rRNA from 1 species
GAUGAGCCCGCGUACCAUUAGCUUGUUGGUGGGGUAAAGGCCUACCAAGGCGACGAUGGUUAGCUGGUCUGAGAGGAUGAUCAGCCACACUGGAACUGGAACACGGUCCAGACUCCUACGGGAGGCAGCAGUGAGGAAUUUUGCGCAAUGGGGGAAACCCUGACGCAGCAACGCCGCGUGAGUGAUGAAGGCUUUCGGGUCGUAAAGCUCUGUCAAGUGGGAAGAAGUUGUGUAUGGCUAAUAUCUGUGCACAUUGACGGUACCACUGAAGGAAGCACCGGCUAACUCCGUGCCAGCAGCCGCGGUAAUACGGAGGGUGCAAGCGUUAUUCGGAUUUACUGGGCGUAAAGGGCGCGUAGGCGGCUUGAUAAGUCAGUCGUGAAAGCCCGGGGCUCAACCCCGGAAGUGCGAUUGAAACUAUCAGGCUUGAGUAUGGUAGAGGGAAGUGGAAUUCCAGGUGUAGCGGUGAAAUGCGUAGAUAUCUGGAGGGACACCGGUGGCGAAGGCGACUUCCUGGACCAAUACUGACGCUGAUGCGCGAAGGUGUGGGUAGCAAACAGGAUUAGAUACCCUGGUAGUCCACACAGUAAA